rnacentral:RNase_P_RNA from 1 species
AAAGAGAAUCGGGCGGCCGCGUUCGCUUAAAUGCGAAUGAGGAAAGUCCGAGCAACAAAGAACGGGACGCCGAAUGAAAAUUCGGGCGCGUAUUUUACGUGACGGAAAGUGCCGCAGAGAAUAGUCCGCUCUCAAAAGGGAGUGAGUUGUGAAAAGGCGGCGUAAGAGACCGCCGUUUUGUUCGGUAACGAGCGAAUAAGGAAAACCCCGUCCGUUGCAAGACCAAAUACGAAAUAUCCUUAGGGAUGAAGUUGUUCGCUUCUUUUAUUUCGGGUAGGUCGCUUAGAUAAAUGGCUGCCAAAGGCGAAAGCCUGAACAGAACUCGGCUUAUAGAUUCUCUUUUCUU